UACGUAGGUGGCAAGCGUUGUCCGGAUUUACUGGGCGUAAAGAGCGCGCAGGCGGUCGUUCAAGUCGCGUGUGAAAGCCCCCGGCUCAACUGGGGAGGGUCACGCGAUACUGAUCGACUCGAAGGCAGGAGAGGGUAGUGGAAUUCCCGGUGUAGUGGUGAAAUGCGUAGAUAUUGGGAAGAACACCAGUGGCGAAAGCGGACUUCUGGGUUGUUACUGACGCUGAGGUACGAAAGCGUGGGGAGCAAACGGG
rnacentral:rRNA from 1 species